UCUCAAAAUAAUCCACUUUUUAAUUUCUGUGACUGUUUUAAGUUCAGCAACUACGGCACAGUGUGUUUUGUUUGUGACAACAAUGUUGAGGGGCUUUUGAAUUCACUGCGGCUCUGAUUAACGGCCCUGACCUGCUUCCUCUCCAUGGCAACAGCCACUGAGCCUCAUGGCCGUCCAGUGUGUGAAAAUCAUGGAGAAAGGAUGAUUUCUGGGAAACAAAUUUGAAAUAUUUAAAACUGUUAGUCAUGGUAUAAAGCCUGCAGGGAUGUCUGUGAGAUCCCUGUGAUUCUAUGUUAAGUAACACCGAGGAGAGUUUUUCGGAAACUGGAAUACAAUGUGAACCAGAACUGUGAGGAAAAAAGAACCCAAGGUCAUGGAAUUUUGUCUCAUUCUCUAGUUCCGUAUGUGCAAAUAGAGUGAAAAGUAUGUUUUAUACACUUGAGUCUUCUUUUUGUAUUUUUAUUUAUGAACUGAUGUAGUGCCUCGAAGGACAUGUGCAUCAUGGCGUGCAUGGAAAAAGGUUGUCCAGUGCAGAUGCUGCAGCUCUGAGAAUGAUCAUAAAGAUUUGGACCAGCAGUUUUACACUCUUAAGAAGUCUUUCUUUGAAGAUUUUUUGAAGAUGUGACGAUCAAUUACUCUGAUGUGGCAUGAAUAUCUGUGGAACACAGAAAAUGCCAGCGACUGAUUACUACCUGAAGACAAAUACCUGGUGAUUACGACUUGAUUAUAUGACAUUUCCUGGCUUGAAUAGGGGAUAGCUACGCCAUGCCACGCCUCACUAACACUGUCCUCUUUGGUCGCAGGACUGAUCACUGCUAACCUGUGACAGUGCCUUAGGGGAUAACCUCAAGCAUCGGUACUAAGGACUUGAGAAGAAACUCUGUUUUCAAAGGCUUUAUGUGUUCAGCUCUCUGAACUUGGAAUCUGUGGUUUGUAUGUUAUGUGCUCUUGUCUGCACUUUGAGGUUUGAGUCUUGUUUUACUGUUUACUGAACCCUUUCAUCCACAUCGGAGCUGUGAUGACUAACUUUUCCUGUUGUUGUUUCUUCACAUCAGAAAUGUUGCAUUUCCCGACCCCACUGGAUACUCUGUGAUAAAGUUACAGGAAAUGCUUGUGUCUAUCACCUUCAUUAGCAUUCUCUAAUCUAAACAGGUCUGUUCAUCCAGGAUUCAGCAUUGAUCAGUUAACUUACAGGGAGGUUUCACUUAACGCGACCGUGCAGCUAGGUGACACUGAUUAGUGUUAAGAGGUAUAAAAGAAACUCAGACUAUUGUAAUGGCAAUUAACAUUAGGACUGGGAGAAUAAUGUGGAUUCUUGCAUAUGUGCACUAAAGCAAAGAGAGUAUUUAAAAGACAGCAGCAAGAUGAUAGGAUAAGAUAACAUUGCAGGUGUGUUGUGUACUGUUGGAAAGAUGUGACUGGCUGAUGUGAUCACAUCUUUUUUGUGUUGAAUCCACGUUCACUGAGAUGAAUAUUUCCUCUUAAAUCCAUGUUAAAAACGCAAUACAUACGACAUUUAGUUAAAUACAUACAAAAAAUAACUGAAAUUAACAACAGAAUGUGAGCAGAAACAGUUUUGAGGUUAUUUUGAAUAUGUUUACAUAUUGUGUUGCAGUCUUGUAGCCUGGAUUAUGUUAACUGGUUUCUGAAAGUUACAUCAAA